CUAACUACCUGCCAUCUCCCGCGGUAAUACUUGGGUGCAAGCGUUAAUCGGAAUUACUGGGCG
rnacentral:rRNA from 1 species